rnacentral:rRNA from 1 species
AGUGAACGCUGGCGGUAGGCCUAACACAUGCCAGUCGAACGGCAGCACAGUAAGAGCUUGCUCUUACGGGUGGCGAGUGGCGGACGGGUGAGGAAUACAUCGGAAUCUACUUUUUCGUGGGGGAUAACGUAGGGAAACUUACGCUAAUACCGCAUACGACCUACGGGUGAAAGCAGGGGAUCUUCGGACCUUGCGCGAUUGAAUGAGCCGAUGUCGGAUUAGCUAGUUGGCGGGGUAAAGGCCCACCAAGGCGACGAUCCGUAGCUGGUCUGAGAGGAUGAUCAGCCACACUGGAACUGGGACACGGUCCAGACUCCUACGGGAGGCAGCAGUGGGGAAUAUUGGAAAAUGGGCGCAAGCCUGAUCCAGCCAUACCGCGUGGGUGAAGAAGGCCUUCGGGUUGUAAAGCCCUUUUGUUGGGAAAGAAAAGCAGCAGGUUAAUACCCCGCUGUUCUGACGGUACCCAAAGAAUAAGCACCGGCUAACUUCGUG